rnacentral:rRNA from 1 species
UACGGGGGGGGCAAGCGUUGUUCGGAAUUACUGGGCGUAAAGGGCCCGUAGGUGGCCAACUAAGUCAGACGUGAAAUCCCUCGGCUUAACCGGGGAACUGCGUCUGAUACUGGAUGGCUUGAGUUCGGGAGAGGGAUGCGGAAUUCCAGGUGUAGCGGUGAAAUGCGUAGAUAUCGUAAGGAAGACCAGUGGCGAAGGCGGGUCUCUGGACAGUUCCUGACGCUGAGGCACGAAGGCCAGGGGAGCAAACGGG